CCUACGGGCGGCAGCAGUGGGGGAUAUUGCACAAUGGGGGGAACCCUGAUGCAGCGACGCCGCGUGGGUGAAGGAGCGUUUCGGCGCGUAAAGCCCUAUCGGCAGGGAAGAAGGAGGACGGUACCUGACUAUGAAGCCCCGGCUAACUACGUGCCAGCAGCCGCGGUAAUACGUAGGGGGCAAGCGUUAUCCGGAUUUACUGGGUGUAACGGGGGCGCAGACGGCAGCGCAAGCCAGGAGUGAAAGCCCGGGGCCCAACCCCGGGACUGCUCUUGGAACUGCGCGGUUGGAGGGCAGGAGGGGCAGGCGGAAUUCCUGGUGUAGCGGUGAAAGGCGUAGAUAUCAGGAGGAACACCGGUGGCGAAGGCGGCCUGCUGGACUGCGACUGACGUUGAGGCCCGAAAGCGUGGGGAGCAAACAGGAUUAGAUACCCCGGUAGUC
rnacentral:rRNA from 1 species